UUCGGGACACGGCUCAGUGUUAGAACACUUGCCUACUAUGCAGAAGGUCCUGGGUUUGAUCCCCAGCACCAAA
rnacentral:tRNA from 1 species